rnacentral:rRNA from 1 species
CUGCGGUGAAUACGUUCCCGGGCCUUGUACACACCGCCCGUCAAGCCAUGGAAGCUGGGGGUACCUGAAGCCGGUAACCGCAAGGAGCCGUCUAGGGUAAAACCGGUAACUGGGGCU